AGGUUGCUAGGAUACAUCAUCUGGGUUGUCGAAAGGCAAAAGAAGACAAAAUCUUGUUGCAGAGAUGAGAAGCCAGGCCAUUUAGUCUCUCCAGAACUUCACCUAGAUUGCCUUCACACCUUACCAAGUCUGAUGCAAAGGGAGUCAAUCUCUGUGAAAAUAUUACAAUCUGUCGGUCUCUCUCCAUUCUCACUAUCCAUCUGUGUUUAUAUCUACCCCUCUCUCUCUCUCUCUCUCUCUCUCUCACUCUAUCAAUUCCCAUUAU